CUUUGAGUUUCUUGUGUUUUUUCAAGUUGUGUUUUACAUCCUAUCAUCCCUUUUCCCCUUCUAUAUUUAUAUCCGAUCAUCUCUCUUCCCCUUUAAACCCACCAAGCUCUGAUCAAAGGCAUCAACAUGGCCAGUGGUGCAGCGCAAGAAGAGCAAGUGAAGCUGUUAGGCUCAUGGUAUAGUCCAUUUGUGAAAAGAGUAGAGUGGGCUCUCAAAUUCAAAGGCAUUGAAUAUGAGUAUAUAGAAGAAGACUUGAUUAACAAGAGCUCUCUUCUUCUCACCUCCAACCCAGUUUAUAAGAAAGUCCCUGUGCUGCUUCAUAAUGGCAACCCAUUGCGCAAACGCUUGUUAUCAUAGAGUAUAUCGAUGAGACUUGGAAGCAUAACCCUAUUUUGCCUCAAGACCCUCAUGAGAGAGCCAAGGCUCGCUUUUGGGCUGAUUUCAUUGAAGUAAAGUUUACAGAAGUGGUAAAAACAGCACUGAUUACUCAAGGAGAGCAACAGGAGAAGGCAGUGAAAGAAGCAAAAGAAGCCAUGGAAGUGCUUGAAGGAGAGGCAGCCAAGCUCAAGGGGGAGAGAGUUUUCUUUGGAGGCAACAAUGGUAUAGGGUAUGUCGACAUUGUGCUAGGCUUGAUGUGUGGUUGGGUGGAAGUCAUUGAAGAAGUUGGAGGGUUCAAGUUGUUGGACCCUCACAAGCAACCUCACGUUCACAAAUGGCUGGCCAACUUUGUGGAGUUGCCUCUCAUCAAGCCAACCUUGCUGCCUAAGGGGAAAUUGAUGGUUCACUGUCAAAUGAUUCGCCAAGCUUGUUUAGCUUUGGUUGCCAGGAACUGAGAGAUAGGAUCUUGCUAAUUAAAUAUUAAUUGCUCUUAGUUAAAACCUUUAAUCCAUUAUGUUUGGGUUUUGAUAAUAUUUAUGUAAUUUUCGAAGUUUGCUUAGUUUUUGAUCUAAUAGUAAAUGAUACGUCAUAUCUGAAUUUUUCUGUCAUAUAUUUAUGGAAAA